rnacentral:rRNA from 1 species
GACGAACGCUGGCGGCGUGCUUAACACAUGCAAGUCGAACGAUGAACCCGGAGCUUGCUCUGGGGGAUUAGUGGCGAACGGGUGAGUAACACGUGAGUAACCUGCCCUGGACUCUGGGAUAAGCGUUGGAAACGACGGCUAAUACCGGAUAGGACCUUGGAUCGCAUGAUCUGGGGUGGAAAGUUUUUUCGGUCGGGGAUGGACUCGCGGCCUAUCAGCUUGUUGGUGAGGUAAUGGCUCACCAAGGCGUCGACGGGUAGCCGGCCUGAGAGGGUGACCGGCCACACUGGGACUGAGACACGGCCCAGACUCCUACGGGAGGCAGCAGUGGGGAAUAUGGCACAAUGGGCGAAAGCCUGAUGCAGCAACGCCGCGUGCGGGAUGACGGCCUUCGGGUUGUAAACCGCUUUUAGUAGGGAAGAAGGGCUUCGGCUUGACGGUACCUGCAGAAAAAGGACCGGCUAACUACGUG